rnacentral:rRNA from 1 species
AAACUUUCAACAACGGAUCUCUUGGUUCUGGCAUCGAUGAAGAACGCAGCGAAAUGCGAUAAGUAAUGUGAAUUGCAGAAUUCAGUGAACCAUCGAAUCUUUGAACGCACAUUGCGCCCGGUAGCAUUCUACCGGGCAUGCCUGUUCGAGCGUCAUUU